rnacentral:lncRNA from 10 species
UGAGGAUUUGUCAGUAGAGCUUUUCUGAACAUUAAUCUCUCAUAUGUUAGCCUUUUAGAAGUAAGCUGUUUUAUCACUUAUGUAAAAUUAGCUUUAAACAAAUUUAUAAUAUGAUAUGUAAUUCUAGUAUUUGAUAAGACUUUCAAAGAUAUAAGUAGGGUACCUUUGUGUGCAUGACUGCAUAGUAUUCCAUGGUGCACAUGUACCACAUUUUCUUUAGAACCAAAAGGUGUAGAAAAGAUAAAUUCUCUCUCUCCUUGAGUUGGAACAUCCACCUUCAUGGUAAAAAUUCCUCAGCAAAUAUAUUAGACAAGGGAACUUUCUGAAACUAGUAAAAAACAUCUAUAAAAAACUCACAGCUAAUACUGUACUUGACAGCAAAACAGUUAAUAUUUCCCCCUAAAUUCUGGAAGAAGGCAAAGAUAUCUAAUCUCAGCAUUUCUAUUUAACAUUUUACUGGAAGAUCUUAUCAGUACAAAAAAAAAAGAAAAAUAAACAAAAGUCAUACAAGAAAAUAUACAGAACAAAAAUCUUUAUUUAUAAAAUGUCAUGAUUAUUCAGAGAAUGUUAUUGAAUAUAAUAAAAAGAAAUAGAAUUUAUACAUGUAUUUGGCAAAGUUGCAGCUUUCAGAUCGAUAUUCCAAAAUUAAUUUUAUUUUUAUAUCCCAUCAACAGAAAAGU